CAGCAUUUUGUGGUUGCUCCGCAUCACCAACACUUUUUACGGUCAGUUAUUUUAAUUUUAGCAUUUGUUUGUUUGUUUGUUUGAGACAGGGCCUUGCUCUGUCCCCCAGGCUGGAGUGCAAGCAUAAUCACAGCUCACUGUGGCCUUGACUUCCCAGACUCAAGUCAUUCUCCCACCUCAGCCUCCCAAGUAGCUGCACUACAGGCACAGGCAACCAUGCCCAGCUAAUUUUCUGAAGUUUUUUGGAGAGAUGGUCUUUUGCUUUGCUGCCCAGGCUUGUCUCAAACCCCUAGUCUCAAGCAGUACUCCUGCCUUCACCUCCCAAAGUGCUUGGAUUACAAAUGUGAGCCACUGUGGCUUGCCUAAUUUUAGCCAUUCUGAUGAAUGUGGUUUUAAUGGGCAUUUAUUUGAUGAAUAAUUAUGUUCAGUACUUUUCCAUGUGCUUAUUGGCAAUUCAGUAUCCUUUUUGUGACAUGGCUGUCACAUGUUUGUGACAUCGCUGUUUGCCUUUUAUCAUUAAAUUACAGGCAUUCUUCAUAUAGCCUAGAUACCACUUCUUUGUCAGGUAUUUAUCUUGUUACUUGCUAUUGGUCUGUCAGGUUUUGGGUUUCUUCCUGGUUCAAUCUUGGUAGGAUGUAUGUGUCUAGGAAUUUGCCCAUUUCUUCUAGAUUUUCCAGUUUAUUGGCAUACAAUUGCUCACAGUAACUACUAAUGACCCUUUGAAUUUCUGCAGUAUCAGUUGUAAUGUCUCCUUUUUCGUUUCUGAUUUUAUUUAAUUGGAUCUUCUUUCGUUUUUUUCUUAGUCUGGCUAAAGGUUUGCCAAUGUGUUUAAAUUUUCAAAAAAACAUCUUUUUGUUUUAUUGAUUUUUUUUUGUAGUGUUGACUUCAUUUCAAAUUCAUUUAUUUCUGCUCUGAUAUUUAUUAUUUCUUUUCUUCUAAUUUUUUAUUUGGUUGGCUCUUACUUUUUUAGUUCUUUAAAAUGCACAGUUAUAUUGUUUAUUUGAAGUUUUUCCUCUUUUUGAUAUAGACACUUAUAACUAUAACAUUCCCUCUUAGUUCUGUUUUCCCUGUAUUCUAUAGGUUUAGGUAUGUUGUGUUUCUAUUUUCAUUUGUUUCAAAAUUUUUUUCAAAUUCUUUCUUAAUUUCUUCAUUGACUCACUGGUCAUUCAAGAACAUAUUGUUUAGUUUCCA
rnacentral:lncRNA from 10 species